UACGGAGGGUGCGAGCGUUGUCCGGAAUCAUUGGGCGUAAAGGGCGCGUAGGUGGCCCCUCAAGCGUGCGGUGAAAGUCAGGGGCUCAACCCCUGAUCGGCCGUGCGAACUGGGGAGCUUGAGCACUGUAGAGGCAGGCGGAAUUCCGGGUGUAGCGGUGGAAUGCGUAGAGAUCCGGAAGAACACCAAAGGCGAAGGCAGUGUCCUGGGGAGUACCUGACGCUCAGGUGCGAAAGCCAGGGGAGCGAACGGG
rnacentral:rRNA from 1 species